rnacentral:rRNA from 1 species
GUGGGGAAUUUUGGACAAUGGGCGAAAGCCUGAUCCAGCAAUGCCGCGUGCAGGAUGAAGGCCCUCGGGUUGUAAACUGCUUUUGUACGGAACGAAACGGUCCGGGUUAAUACCCUGGGCUAAUGACGGUACCGUAAGAAUAAGCACCGGCUAACUACGUGCCAGCAGCCGCGGUAAUACGUAGGGUGCAAGCGUUAAUCGGAAUUACUGGGCGUAAAGCGUGCGCAGGCGGUUUUGUAAGACAGGCGUGAAAUCCCCGGGCUCAACCUGGGAAUUGCGCUUGUGACUGCAAGGCUGGAGUGCGGCAGAGGGGGAUGGAAUUCCGCGUGUAGCAGUGAAAUGCGUAGAUAUGCGGAGGAACACCGAUGGCGAAGGCAAUCCCCUGGGCCUGCACUGACGCUCAUGCACGAAAGCGUGGGGAGCAAACAGGAUUAGAAACCCUUGUAGUCC